UUAACAUAGGACACAAAAGAGCUGAUAAUGUUGUCGUAAUAAGUAAUUUAUCGGUUUAGUGUGUAACUACGUGAAAGCAGAAGUGACUGGAAGUCGAUUGUAAACAUCUAUCGCAGUUGGUAAGCUCCAACAGCUCCGCGAACGUCUGCGAGGCGGAUCUUCCUGGCUCGUCCUCCAACACGCUAUCCGGUGGGCUGUUCAACAUCUUCGCGUACUUGCCGUCUUGGGGCUGUGGCUGCUGGUGAUGGUGACCUCUCGUCUCGUCCAAGCCAAGAAACGUAAUUGCGGACAGGAGGGUGUACACACCGUCUUUCCUCUUGGACUUCUAUCAAUCUGGAGGUAGGGGGUUCCUUGCGUUCCUCGUUGUCGCUGUUGUCGUCAGGGUCGACGAAAACUAGCCUGGCCGCUUCCACAGGUGUCAGGACAGGUGUAGGUGGCUUUUGUCUUCGGCGAGCCAGCGUGUUGGCGCUCCGUGACUUCACCAUCCCCGUUGACGGUUCGACGACCUCCGCGUCUACUUGCUGAAAUGGAUAAUACGAGUUCGCCUGCGGGCAGGCUCAAAUUGUCACAUGCGUUUCGUUUUUGCAAACGCGAGGUUUAAUUCGGGUGCAAAUAACGGGAACGAAAAAUAUAACGAAACGAUACGGCGAAGCUCGGUCUAGCCGGUGCCUCGUUCGGUGAUAUCCUGCUGUUGCACAGCCUCGUCCUUUGAUUUCUCGGCUUGUACUUCGCGUUGUCGAGGCGGCGUGACCGUGAAGGGGCCCUGGACCGGGCUUAUUUUUCAAUAGACACCAGGAGGCUGCAUUCACGUCCCAUCGCCAACAGUCGCUCCUCUCUUGGAGGUCGGUCAUACCCCCGUAAACGUACAUCGCAUCGCCAUGAAGAACCGCUGAAUGUUUAUGCCUCGCUGCCGGGCCGCAUUCACUGGACGAAAGAAGGUGCCAGGAUUCCGUUUCUAAAGGGUGAAUUAUGAAAAUUAUCCAGGAAUAUUAAAUAAACAGUACGUAUUUUUACAGGAUGCGGGAGAAAAUUUGACCUCUAAGCUGUAUUCGUCCUAGAACGAAAUUCAAAUAAUUCGAGUGAAUGCAUAAAACUAGUCCGAGUAACUAGAAAAUUUGGAACUUUGUACAAAUUUCGUACAAGUUUAAACCACGAGUUAAUGAAGUAUCUUAUCGUUUUACCAAAGUGAAACGCCCACAGCUCUGGGGAGCUUCCACGCAAAUCUUGAUAGCCACCGUAGAUGAGCAUUUGACCUCGAUGAACCAAUGCCGUAUGGCCUCUUCGUCCUCUAGGAACUGCACAGCCCCGUUGCGCUCUCACCUUUCUCCACAUUUCAUAGAUUACGCGAGUUGGGUGACAAUAAGCUUGGAAAUACUCUAAUUCCGACUAGACAGGAGAGGUUUCUGAAUGCGACUGGGAUUGGCCAGAACAAAAGGCACAGAAGGACUCCAAUUUGUCACUCCCUUAUUUUGCCGUUUGAAUAGGCUCGAGUUUAAUGCUCGAGGCACCAGCUGAAGACUUAGAAGGUUUACUAUUCUCCCUCGAUUAAUUCACAUAACAAAAGGUUCUACUCUACAAAUAUUUACACGUGGGAAAUGGUCCAUUUUCAAUGUUCAGAAAAAUUGUCUUGAAUUCGCUGGCCGGUCGUAUCGAAAUACGAGACCUGAAUGGAAAGGGUUAAUACCAUGAACUGGAACGCACGUCGGUGGUUCUUUUGACGCGCGGUGGUUCAAUCAUGGAUCUUUUGCUUAGGCCAGUGAAUCUCGGCUAGCCAAGAAGAUAGGAGAAAAUACGUUGGCUUAGCCGAGGGUCCGCGAUCAUACACGCAAAGGAGGGAAGAUGGAAGGAAGGUUUAUAGGCUCCGUUGCAGGGGCGCUGAAAGUAAUUACGUAACUUGAAGUACGUGCCUAAAGUUGAUAGGUCUGUACAGCCACUUGCGUCUACCCCGUAUUACGACAUGAGGGGGACGCAGAAGGGUGGAGUAGUGGCUAAAUUCGCCAUCGACGUUAAAACGCUGUAAAAUUAGCGAGAAAACAGUUGUCACCGACGCCGAAUGCACCAAUUUUCAAGAAUUCAUUUUUCCAAUUUAAUCUUAUUUAGGAAACACUCCCACUUCUAAAUCGGAGGGACCUCCGAAAAGUUUGGAGACCGCGGGAUUAAAGGAACAAAGUCGAGCCGAACGAAGCAAGGCAGAGAAUAUUCAACAGGGUGGAAUAUAUUUUUCCACUUUCGAUUCCCCGUAAACGGAAGAGAAUUUUAACGAGAAGCACAGAGGGAAGACGAAAGAGUGGAAAGUGAACAGGACACGGGGCGACCCCUCGACGGUUUAACCAAUCGGGUUUGCCUGGCGCAUUCGUAACGCGGAUUUCAAUAAUACACGGCGAAGACACGAGUAACGGGGAGUAUCCCUGGUCUCCGACAUGGUCCAACGGAUAAAAACAAAUGGACCGAACGUAACCAUAGCGACACGCAGCAUUGGAAAAAAGUUUGGACCCUCCGAAAAAAGGACGAGAAGGAUGGGUGAGCGUAGUACGUCGAUCGUACUUUUUCUGUUAA